rnacentral:rRNA from 1 species
GGCCAGACUCCUACGGGAGGCAGCAGUGGGGAAUAUUGCACAAUGGGGGAAACCCUGAUGCAGCAACGCCGCGUGAAGGAAGACGGUUUUCGGAUUGUAAACUUCUGUUCUUAGUGAAGAAGAAUGACGGUAGCUAAGGAGCAAGCCACGGCUAACUACGUGCCAGCAGCCGCGGUAAAACGUAGGGUGCAAGCGUUGUCCGGAAUUACUGGGUGUAAAGGGAGCGCAGGCGGAUUGACAAGUUGGGAGUGAAAACUACGGGCUCAACCCGUAACCUGCUUUCAAAACUGUCAGUCUUGAGUGGUGUAGAGGUAGGCGGAAUUCCCGGUGUAGCGGUGGAAUGCGUAGAUAUCGGGAGGAACACCAGUGGCGAAGGCGGCCUACUGGGCACUAACUGACGCUGAGGCUCGAAAGCAUGGGUAGCAAACAGGAUUAGAUACCCGAGUAAU